rnacentral:rRNA from 1 species
GAUGAACGCUGGCGGCGUGCCUAAUACAUGCAAGUCGAGCGAACAGACGAGGAGCUUGCUCCUCUGACGUUAGCGGCGGACGGGUGAGUAACACGUGGAUAACCUACCUAUAAGACUGGGAUAACUUCGGGAAACCGGAGCUAAUACCGGAUAAUAUAUUGAACCGCAUGGUUCAAUAGUGAAAGACGGUUUUGCUGUCACUUAUAGAUGGAUCCGCGCCGCAUUAGCUAGUUGGUAAGGUAACGGCUUACCAAGGCGACGAUGCGUAGCCGACCUGAGAGGGGGAUCGGCCACACUGGAACUGAGACACGGUCCAGACUCCGACGGGAGGCAGCAGUAGGGAAGCUUCCGCAAUGGGCGAAAGCCUGACGGAGCAACGCCGCGUGAGUGAUGAAGGUCUUCGGAUCGUAAAACUCUGUUAUUAGGGAAGAACAAAUGUGUAAGUAACUAUGCACGUCUUGACGGUACCUAAUCAGAAAGCCACGGCUAACUACGU